AGAAUCAACGCUGGCGGCGUGCCUAACACAUGCAAGUCGCACGAGAAAGGGGAGCAAUCCCUGAGUACAGUGGCGCACGGGUGAGUAACACGUGAAUCAUCUACCUCCGAGUGGGGAAUAACUGAGAGAAAUCUUGGCUAAUACCGCAUAAUACCCACGGGUCAAAGCAGUAAUGCGCUUGGAGAGGAGUUCGCGGCAGAUUAGUUAGUUGGCGGGGUAAUGGCCCACCAAGACGAUGAUCUGUAUCCGGCCUGAGAGGGCGCACGGACACACUGGAACUGAAACACGGUCCAGACUCCUACGGGAGGCAGCAGUGGGGAAUUUUGCGCAAUGGGGGAAACCCUGACGCAGCAACGCCGCGUGGAGGAUGAAGCCCUUGGGUGUAAACUCCUUUCGAUCGGGAAGAUAAUGACGGUACCGAUAUAAGAGCCCCGGCUAACUUCGUGCCAGCAGCCGC
rnacentral:rRNA from 1 species